UUUGGGAGCUUGCUCCCUGAUGUUAGCGGCGGACGGGUGAGUAACACGUGGGUAACCUGCCUGUAAGACUGGGAUAACUCCGGGAAACCGGGGCUAAUACCGGAUGGUUGUUUGAACCGCAUGGUUCAAACAUAAAAGGUGGCUUCGGCUACCACUUACAGAUGGACCCGCGGCGCAUUAGCUAGUUGGUGAGGUAACGGCUCACCAAGGCAACGAUGCGUAGCCGACCUGAGAGGGUGAUCGGCCACACUGGGACUGAGACACGGCCCAGACUCCUACGGGAGGCAGCAGUAGGGAAUCUUCCGCAAUGGACGAAAGUCUGACGGAGCAACGCCGCGUGAGUGAUGAAGGUUUUCGGAUCGUAAAGCUCUGUUGUUAGGGAAGAACAAGUACCGUUCGAAUAGGGCGGUACCUUGACGGUACCUAACCAGAAAGCCACGGCUAACUACGUGCCAGCAGCCGCGGUAAUACGAA
rnacentral:rRNA from 1 species